CUUGCUCCCUGAUGUUAGCGGCGGACGGGUGAGUAACACGUGGGUAACCUGCCUGUAAGACUGGGAUAACUCCGGGAAACCGGGGCUAAUACCGGAUGGUUGUCUGAACCGCAUGGUUCAGACAUAAAAGGUGGCUUCGGCUACCACUUACAGAUGGACCCGCGGCGCAUUAGCUAGUUGGUGAGGUAACGGCUCACCAAGGCGACGAUGCGUAGCCGACCUGAGAGGGUGAUCGGCCACACUGGGACUGAGACACGGCCCAGACUCCUACGGGAGGCAGCAGUAGGGAAUCUUCCGCAAUGGACGAAAGUCUGACGGAGCAACGCCGCGUGAGUGAUGAAGGUUUUCGGAUCGUAAAGCUCUGUUGUUAGGGAAGAACAAGUGCCGUUCAAAUAGGGCGGCACCUUGACGGUACCUAACCAGAAAGCCACGGCUAACUACGUGCCAGCAGCCGCGGUAAUACGUAGGUGGCAAGCGUUGUCCGGAAUUAUUGGGCGUAAAGGGCUCGCAGGCGGUUUCUUAAGUCUGAUGUGAAAGCCCCCGGCUCAACCGGGGAGGGUCAUUGGAAACUGGGGAACUUGAGUGCAGAAGAGGAGAGUGGAAUUCCACGUGUAGCGGUGAAAUGCGUAGAGAUGUGGAGGAACACCAGUGGCGAAGGCGACUCUCUGGUCUGUAACUGACGCUGAGGAGCGAAAGCGUGGGGAGCGAACAGGAUUAGAUACCCUGGUAGUCCACGCCGUAAACGAUGAGUGCUAAGUGUUAGGGGGUUUCCGCCCCUUAGUGCUGCAGCUAACGCAUUAAGCACUCCGCCUGGGGAGUACGGUCGCAAGACUGAAACUCAAAGGAAUUGACGGGGGCCCG
rnacentral:rRNA from 1 species